UUUUUGCGUGAGGGAUAGUAGUGAAAAUCCUCUCUCGUUAAAAAACGAGAGAGAUUGCAACGGAUAGCCCGACCCGCU
rnacentral:sRNA from 1 species